UACGUAGGGUGCGAGCGUUAAUCGGAAUUACUGGGCGUAAAGCGUGCGCAGGCGGUUCGUUAUGUCCGAUGUGAAAGCCCCGAGCUUAACUUGGGAAUGGCAUUGGAAACUGGCGGGCUGGAGUGCGGCAGAGGGGGGUGGAAUUCCACGUGUAGCAGUGAAAUGCGUAGAGAUGUGGAGAAACACCGAUGGCGAAGGCAGCCCCCUGGGCCGACACUGACGCUCAGGCACGAAAGCGUGGGGAGCAAACAGG
rnacentral:rRNA from 1 species